rnacentral:rRNA from 1 species
GAUGAACGCUGGCGGCGUGCCUAAUACAUGCAAGUCGAGCGAACGGACGAGAAGCUUGCUUCUCUGAUGUUAUCGGCGGACGGGUGAGUAACACGUGGAUAACCUACCUAUAAGACUGGGAUAACUUCGGGAAACCGGAGCUAAUACCGGAUAAUAUUUUGAACCGCAUGGUUCAAAAGUGAAAGACGGUCUUGCUGUCACUUAUAGAUGGAUCCGCGCUGCAUUAGCUAGUUGGUAAGGUAACGGCUUACCAAGGCAACGAUGCAUAGCCGACCUGAGAGGGUGAUCGGCCACACUGGAACUUAGACACGGUCCAGACUCCUACGGUAGGCAGCAGUGGGGAAUCUUCCACAAUGGGCGAAAGCCUGACGGAGCAACGCCGCGUGAGUGAUGAAGGUCUUCGGAUCGUAAAACUCUGUUAUUAGUGAAGAACAUAUGUGUAAGUAUCUGUGCACAUCUUGACGGUACCUAAUCAGAAAGCCACGGCUAACUACGUG